UACUAGAGUAGCACUCGCAUAUCAAUAAGCGGAGGAAAAGAAACUAACAAGGAUUCCCCUAGUAACGGCGAGUGAAGCGGGAAGAGCUCAAAUUUGAAAUCUUAAAGGGUUUCCCUUUACGAAUUGUAGUUUAAAGAAGUGUUUUCUGUUGAGGUUUUGGUAAAAGUUCUUUGGAAUAGGACAUCAUAGAGGGUGAGAAUCCCGUAUUUGACCUUUACUUUCAACUUUGUGAUACACUUUCAAAGAGUCGGAUUGUUUGGGAAUGCAGUCCAAAAUGGGUGGUAAAUUUCAUCUAAAGCUAAAUAUUGGCGAGAGACCGAUAGCGAACAAGUACCGUGAGGGAAAGAUGAAAAGAACUUUGAAAAGAGAGUUAAACAGUACGUGAAAUUGUCAAAAGGGAAGCGUUUGACACCAGUGUUGUUUUUCUGAAAAUCAAUUAAAGAACUGUUUAUGCUAAGCUGUUUAGACUUUAUCAGCUAAUCUGUUUAGUUUUGAGCUUUUCUUUAAUGCACUUUUCAGUUAACAAGUCAACAUCAAUUUCUUUUGCUGUAAAAAAGCUUGAGGAAGGUGGCUUGAGAUUCGUCUUAGGUGUUUAUAGCCUCUUGCCUAUGCAGUCGGAGAGAUUGAGGUCUGCAGCGUAGAUCCUUCGGGGCUAAAUGCGUUUGUGCUAAGUUAUAGCAUUUUAUAGACAACUUGUUGACUAUGAUUUGUCUUGUAGCUUACUCGCUUAUGUUAUUUUACCUACGCUUAGGAUGUUGAGCGCAUGUCUCUCUCU
rnacentral:rRNA from 1 species